AGAGACAGCUGUCCUGGAUAAAGUGGCGCUUGCAGAGUCAAGGAAACUUCUUUUGAGCUAUCUACAGCUUUUAACAAUUGAGUAAGGUAUACUCCUGUGAAGAAAAUUUGGAGCAUAUUUCUCUCUGCCUGGUUUCUCUAGAAUUUGGAAACUAUUUGCAAAUAUUCUUAACUUAUGGCAAUAUAGUUAUUUGCAUCAGUGCAAUAAGAAUCUAUUUUCUUUUGCAGCAGGAUAUAACUGGAGAAACCGGUUAUUUUACCAAGGUUUUGACUGGAAUGGUAUGCUUUCCUUUAGGGAAUCAAGCUUGACUUGCAGAGCCAAUAAAAUCCCCUUGGGAAAACUGGCCUCAUACCUUGUCUACACAGUCCCUGGACAGGGUUCCUAACCUGUGGUGAGUAGAGAAUGUCAUUUUCUAACAGGCCCAAGAGCCCUGUGUUAUCUGGGACCUCAAGAAAAGAAGAAUUUACCCAACUCAUAGGUAUUUGAGGGUACAAACCCAUGGCUGAGCUCAGCUUUAAAAGGUCCUACCUGAGAUUCCUUGUGAAACAGAGUUCCAUCAAAGCCAAUUUUAAAAGCCUAUGUGAAAAUGAUUAUUCUUGCUGCACUUUAUGCAAAUGACCAGGCCAAGUAUAAGACUAAAGUUUAUUUUGCAAACAACUCAGUCCUAUCAUGGUUUAUUUUUAACAGAAAUGAGGACUGGAGAGAGAAAAAUUAUGUUUCAAAAUUUAUCAUACACUUGUCAUUAAAUUCUAGUUUCAGUUGUUUUUAAGCUUUUGCCUACAUUUUAGAUUAAUCCUGCUUAUUCCUGUGAACCAACUAGUGAUCUCUGGUUGUAGCUCAGAAGAAAUAGAGGGGAUGGGUAAUGUAAAAAUAUGAAUCAAUAUUCUAGUUCUGGGCAAUUAUCCUGCAGCUGAUAGGAGUAAAUAGGAUGUGGUGCUCAUAAUCUGGAGGUUUUUUUGGGAAAAUGAAAACAAGGGAGCAAACCAAAGCCAAGCACCAUGCAUCCAAAUCUUAGCAGGCAUAACUAUAGCCACUAGUUAUCUGGGCAUGUCAGCAGACUUGGGAUUUUUGAGCUGUCUUUACCUCCUUGUUGUUCCAUUUUGAUCCAUGUCAUCUAAUAACCCAAACUGUUUCUUCUCACUUAGAGGCCAUCAAAUUCCGAACAGAGCCUUGAAUGAUGGCUCCCUUUAACCUGGGACGCUUAGAUAGGCCUCUGAGGGAGCUCUGAUUGCUGUUUGCUCAAAACAGCAUCCCCUGUCAGCAGGAAGUAGUUAAGAUUGUCUUUGUCCCUAUUCUAACAACAGGUAGUUGUACCUCUUCAGAGGGGGAAAUGAGAGGGACAGGAGGCAGCCAAAUGCCUAGGCAAAUAGGGACUGGUCCCUGGUGAAACCCCACUUCCAAGCCAAAGCCAGUUUAAAGCCUGAAAGCCAAGCUACAAGCUAAAUCCUCAGACCAGAUUGAAGACUUGUCUUCCCAUUUGUUGUGCUUUCCUCUGAUUGAUCCCCACCCUUCACCUAUUUUACAUAUACUUACCCUUUCCUAAUUGGUUUUCUACACUGUCAUGCCCAUCUUUGAGUGAUGUCUUCACUUUAACCUGUUUUGCAUACUCACAAACCAAUCAGCAUGCACUCCCCGUCCUGUGCAUAUAAAGGCCCCAGACUCAGUCAGUAGAUGGGAAGAUGGCUGGACUUCGAGGAGACAACCGGACUUUGAGGAAGAGAUGGCUGGACUACAGAAGAGAUGGCCUGACUUCGGGGGAAGAUGACUGGCCCUUCCUGUUUCCUCUCCAGCUCCCCUUUCUGCUGAGAGCUGUUUUCAUUGCUUAAUAAAAUUC
rnacentral:lncRNA from 1 species